rnacentral:snRNA from 1 species
CUCCACUCUGGCCUUUUGGCUAAGAUCAAAGUGUAGUAUCUGUUCUUAAAAUUCAUUAUAUACUACAUAAUUCAAAUUCAAAUUCUUGAAUUUCCGGACUAAAGUUGUCUAAAAUUAUGGUCAGGAAACUAUUUCAAGAAAUUUUCUUUGGCUUACAGAAA